UGGGGAAUAUUGCGCAAUGGGCGAAAGCCUGACGCAGCGACGCCGCGUGAGGGAUGAAGGUUUUCGGAUCGUAAACCUCUGUCAGAAGGGAAGAAACCACACUGUGCUAAUCAGCAGUGCCUUGACGGUACCUUCAAAGGAAGCACCGGCUAACUCCGUGCCAGCAGCCGCGGUAAUACGGAGGGUGCAAGCGUUAAUCGGAAUUACUGGGCGUAAAGCGCACGUAGGCUGCUUUGUAAGUCAGGGGUGAAAUCCCACGGCUCAACCGUGGAACUGCCUUUGAUACUGCUUAGCUUGAAUCCGGGAGAGGGUGGCGGAAUUCCAGGUGUAGGAGUGAAAUCCGUAGAUAUCUGGAGGAACAUCAGUGGCGAAGGCGGCCACCUGGACCGGUAUUGACGCUGAGGUGCGAAAGCGUGGGGAGCAAACAGG
rnacentral:rRNA from 1 species